rnacentral:rRNA from 1 species
GAGUAAUGCAUCGGAACGUGUCCUGUUGUGGGGGAUAACUGAUCGAAAGAUCAGCUAAUACCGCAUGAGACCUGAGGGUGAAAGCGGGGGAUCGCAAGACCUCGCGCGACAGGAGCGGCCGAUGUCUGAUUAGCUAGUUGGUGAGAUAAAAGCUUACCAAGGCGACGAUCAGUAGCUGGUCUGAGAGGAUGAUCAGCCACAUUGGGACUGAGACAACGGCCCAGACUCCUACGGGAGGGCAGCAAUUUGGGGAAUUUUUGGACAAAUGGGGGAAACCCUGAUCCAGGCCAUUGCCGCGUGCGGUGAUGAAGGCCUUGGGGUUGUAAACCGCUUUUGUCAGAGACGAAAAGGGACGUACGAAUACUACGUUCCGCUGACGGUAUCUGAAGAAUAAGCACCGGCUAACUACGUUGCCAGCACGCCGCGGUAAUACGUAGGGUGCAAGCGUUAAUCGGAAUUACUGGGCGUAAAGGGUGCGCAGGCGGCUGUGCAAGACAGAUGUGAAAUCCCCGGGCUUAACCUGGGAACUGCAUUUG